CCCCUCGCCUGGCCUGGAUACAGAAAGAGCUUCAAAGGACUGCUACAGCCAUUAAGGUUCAUUGUGAAAGCCUAACAACUCUUAACGACCCUCCUACAGCUGCUGAAAGGGAAGGAGAGGGACAGGCCGCAUGACGAAGUCAGCCUGAUCCGGAUCAACAUCAAGUGCAAGAGCCUACUGAUGAAGCCUUCUUACUCCAACUUGAGAAGACAUCAUGAUCACAGGCUCUCAUCUUUCUAGGGGAUUUUAACCACCCCAACACCUUCUGGAAAAGUGGUAUGGCAAGCUGUAGGCAAUCCAGGAGGCUCCUGGAGCACCUAGAUUACAACUUCUUAAAAAAUUAGCAGCCCUACCCAAGGGUAUACAUUAUUGGACUUGUUGGUCACAAAUGCAAGAUAAGUCAUCAGGAAUGUCAAAGGCAGCCUGAGCUUCAGUGAUCACGUGCUAGUGCAGUUCACUGUCCUAAGGGGUAUGAAAUCAACAAGCAGCAUAGUCAGGAUGUUAAAUUUUAGAAAAGCAAACUUCCAGCUCUUCAAGAAGUUAGUAAAUAGGACCUUGUGGGAAAUGGCCCUCACAGACAUGGGAGCAGAACGGAGCUGACAGAUCUUUAAGGAUGCUUUCCACAGAGUGCAAUAGAUCUCAAUCCCCAGGUGUAAGAAAUUGGGCAAGGAAGGAAAGAGACCCACUACAGCUAAGUAGAGACCUGCUGGUCAAACCAAAGGGCAAUCCUGAGAAGAUUAUAGGGGUGUUGCCUGGUUGUGUAGCAAUGAGGUCAGGAAAGUCAAGGUGCAGCUGAAACUGAACUUGGCAAGGAAUAUAAAGAAAAACAAAAAAGGCUUCUACAAGUAUGUAAACCAAAGAAGAAAGGUUAAAGGAAACAUACCCUCUGACAAGCAACAGUGGUGAGCUGGCAAUGCAUGUGCACAGCCCAAACAGCCAACCACGUCCUGGGUUGCAUCAAGAGAAGCGUGGCCAUCAGGUCAAUAGAGGUGAUCCUCUCCCUUUACUCUGCUCUCAUGAGACCCCACCUGGAAUACUGUGUACAGUUGCAGAGCCCCCAACACAAGAAGGACAUGGAACUGUUGGAGUGAGUCCAGAGGAGGGCCACAAAGAUGAUCAGAGCACCUCUAUGAGGGCAGGCUACAAGAGUUUGGGCUCUUCAGCCUGGAGGAGAGAAGGCUUUGAGGAGACCUUAUACUGGCCUUCCAGUAUCUGAAAGGGACCUACAAGAAGGCUGGGGAGGGACUAUUUACAAGGUGUCAUGGAGAGUAGCAGAAGCCCUUAGCAGGCCUCCCUGUUGUGAAAGUUAUAGUGUCUCACAUUAAUGCCAAGAGCAUCGCAAAACCAAAACAAUCCUUCAGUCCCAUGAGAAAGUCUCUCCCUAGUCGAGAUAAAAGGUAAACAAUAGCCACUGUUUUGGUUAGGGGGGAACGGCAGUUCUCAUGCCCGCUCGACACCUGGUGUGGGCCAAACUUGGGGUGGUCUUAGAAAUUGUUUUGGUAAAAAUUCUCCAAUUGUAUGGAUUGAUAACUUUGUGCCAAUCUGUAAGAAUAACGUAAAAUAGCCUGGACUGGUGGGUUACACCUCUUUUGAACAUUAUAAAAAUGGUGUGCCAGCCUGGAUCGGGGUACCUGCUCGCUCACUCGCUAGCCUGCCUGCCUCGCUCCUGCCCCGGUGACCUCUUGCUGCCUGCUUCGUUCCUGAUCAGCCCUGCCUGACGAGGGACCCGCAGAGGCCCGAAGUCCGUGUAGGCCUGAUCCUGACAAAGGGACACCGCCCAAAACUUUGAACUUUGCUGAAUUGAACUACGGAACAGAUAUUCUGAAGCAAAAUCAAUUACUUUUGAAAUGAGAGACCGACUGCACCGUUAUUCCGUAGCACCACAACUCACUGACAAAUUCAGCAUUUGUAGAAAACAAACAGAACGUGGUAGUAGAAGACUACACCGUUCAACAAACAUUGGGGGGGGAGGGGGGCAAUAAAAACCACAAACAUUCCUUUUUUAAUCUACCAGUACUACUUCAAUUCCUACUUGUCACAGGACUUGAAAACCCAAACCAUAUACUGCAUCAAAAAAACCCAUCUGUAUAACUGAAGUAAUUUAACAAGGAAUACGACCGCUCCAUUCUGACUAGAGACGGAUUCCCUCCCGCUCCCAACAGCGGAGGUUCAAUCAGUGCAAAUCCAUUAAUAGAGGUCGAGGAAGCUCUCCGAACGCGACUCAGCUCUUAUGCAAAUUCCAUCUCUUCACAAACGUUCCUUAUUACCCUGCUGAGCUACACACCUAAGCCAACCUACAGCAAUGCGAGGUCUCCUUACAAACCUGAGGACAAGACUCUUAGCAGCAGAAUAUAGGAGCACGCUGACCAGGCACUCGGAAAGAAAAAAGCGUUACCACUCCUCCAGAAGCCAGGAAAUUUAACAGAAUAGGAAAGGGAGGGAUGAAAACAGAAGGGAAAGGUGGAAGAAGUUUGUGGGGUUUUUUUUAAAGGAAAAGAUACCUUUUUCCUUGAGCAAAAGCUAUUCUUUAAGCAAACAAAAAGAAAAACAAACAAACAAAAAAACCCGGAAGAGAGUUUAAGGAGAAAGACAAAUAACAAAACCAACAACGAUAUCUUAGUAUCUACUUGAAAUACCAUCGAACCCGCCGAGACAAUAACGUGCAUUUUCUGCAUCACAAAGAGUACAAACGCAGCCUGCCUGCCCCCACCCAACCCGUUAUCGUGUCGUAUCCGUUCCCCCCAGCAACGGAGAAUGUCAGACUGACCUGUUAACAAAUGGCAGCAACGGCAACAGAAGAGAAGCAACGCUGUGUCCGGCCGCUAAGGAGGAGGAGCAGGAAUCUUCAGGAGGUGGAUUCCCGUCCUCUCUUCCUUCCAAGCUCUCUUUUCC